rnacentral:snRNA from 1 species
AGCUUUUGCUUACUUAUAACGAACAUGGUUCUUGCCUUUUACCAGAGCCAUCCGGGCGCCGUUUCUCUUAUACAGGUAAAGCUGCCAUCGUUGUGUUUCAUGUAUUUUUUGGAAC